UGGAGCUGAUUACCAAAGGCUUUUCUAAUGUGUCUCUGGAGAAUCACCGAGCGAUACAGACAAUUCCAGCGUCUCACUUGUACCUCAGAAAGCAAAAAUAUAAAAGAGCUACAUUUAAGACGUAGAAGGCAGAUUGGAGCUUACUCUGGUUGGAGCCUUGUAGUCCUGCAGUGGAGCCUGAGCUGAGACUUACUUUUUAUAAUAAGUGUGGUGAGGCACUGGCACCGGCUGCCCAGAGAGGAGGUGGUGCCCCAUCCCUGGAGACAGCCAAGGUCAGGCUGGAUGGGCUCUGAGCACCUGGUGGAGCUGUGGGUGUCCCUGUGCAUUGCUGGGGAGUUGGACCAGGUGGCCUUUAAGGGUCUCUUCCAGCUCGAAUGAUUCUAUGAUCUCUGCUCUCUAAGAUCACUUUCUCCAUUCGGAUUCGGUAUCGCGCUGUGCUCAGCUCCAGUUUGUCCUCCAGCACCUCAAGGUACCAACCAUGAAGGAAUUGGAAUUACACCGCUGACUUUCUCAGACUCUUAGCUGUCUGAAAAUACUCGGAAACACUCCCACUGCAGCAGGAGUUAAUGUGCGUCCAGGCCCCUGGGACUGCUGCUUUAACAGCAUUCCCAUCCUCACAAGGGCUUGAAAAGCUCGAGCUUUAUGGGCAGCUGCCAAGUGCAGGACAAUAAAUUGGCACUGACAAACAAGGGCAAAAGAGGCUCUAAGUUCUCAGUGCAGUAUUUCAACAGAGAAGAAGGGACUGAAGCACGGGAAGUGUGUCCCCAUGGGUGCUGCAGAAGACAGAACUGUGUGCAAAUGGAGGCACUCGUGGUUGCUCUUUGGCUGGCUGCCUAUUAUGAAGUCACCCCGAGCCGCCUGUACAUUCUUUGGAUGUGA
rnacentral:lncRNA from 1 species